rnacentral:rRNA from 1 species
UACGAAGGGGGCUAGCGUUGUUCGGAAUUACUGGGCGUAAAGCGCACGUAGGCGGAUUUGUAAGUCAGGGGUGAAAUCCCGGGGCUCAACCUCGGAACUGCCUUUGAUACUGCAAGUCUCGAGUCCGAUAGAGGUGAGUGGAAUUCCUAGUGUAGAGGUGAAAUUCGUAGAUAUUAGGAAGAACACCAGUGGCGAAGGCGGCUCACUGGAUCGGUACUGACGCUGACGUGCGAAAGCGUGGGGAGCAAACAGG